GACGAACGCUGGCGGCGUGCUUAACACAUGCAAGUCGAACGAUGAACUACCAGCUUGCUGGUGGGGAUUAGUGGCGAACGGGUGAGUAACACGUGAGUAACCUGCCCUGGACUCUGGGAUAACCCCGAGAAAUCGGAGCUAAUACCGGAUAGGACCUUUCCCUGCAUGGGGUUUGGUGGAAAGUUUUUCGGUCUGGGAUGGACUCGCGGCCUAUCAGCUUGUUGGUGAGGUAAUGGCUCACCAAGGCGUCGACGGGUAGCCGGCCUGAGAGGGUGACCGGCCACACUGGGACUGAGACACGGCCCAGACUCCUACGGGAGGCAGCAGUGGGGAAUAUUGCACAAUGGGCGCAAGCCUGAUGCAGCAACGCCGCGUGUGGGAUGACGGCCUUCGGGUUGUAAACCGCUUUUAGUAGGGAAGAAGGGCUUCGGCUUGACGGUACCUGCAGAAAAAGGACCGGCUAACUACGUGCCAGCCGCCGCCGUAAGAC
rnacentral:rRNA from 1 species